rfam:TPA: Bos taurus chromosome 4, whole genome shotgun sequence.
UUCCUGGUGGUCCAGUGGUUAGGACUUUGGACUUCCACUGCAGAAGGCACAGAUUCAAUUCCUGGGCAGGGAA